UACGUAGGGUGCAAGCGUUUGUCCGGAAUUAUUGGGCGUAAGAGCUCGUAGGCGGUUUGUCGCGUCUGCUGUGAAAACUCGGGGCUUAACCCCGGGCCUGCAGUGGGUACGGGCAGACUAGAGUGCGGUAGGGGAGACUGGAAUUCCUGGUGUAGCGGUGAAAUGCGCAGAUAUCAGGAGGAACACCGGUGGCGAAGGCGGGUCUCUGGCCGAUACUGACGCUGAGGAGCGAAAGCGUGGGGAGCGAACAGG
rnacentral:rRNA from 1 species